UGGGGAAUUUUGGACAAUGGGGGAAACCCUGAUCCAGCCAUCCCGCGUGUGCGAUGAAGGCCUUCGGGUUGUAAAGCACUUUUGGCAGGAAAGAAACGUCAUGGGUUAAUACCCCGUGAAACUGACGGUACCUGCAGAAUAAGCACCGGCUAACUACGUGCCAGCAGCCGCGGUAAUACGUAGGGUGCAAGCGUUAAUCGGAAUUACUGGGCGUAAAGCGUGCGCAGGCGGUUCGGAAAGAAAGAUGUGAAAUCCCAGAGCUCAACUUUGGAACUGCAUUUUUAACUACCGGGCUAGAGUGUGUCAGAGGGAGGUGUAAUUCCGCGUGUAGCAGUGAAAUGCGUAGAUAUGCGGAGGAACACCGAUGGCGAAGGCAGCCUCCUGGGAUAACACUGACGCUCAUGCACGAAAACGUGGGGAGCAAACAGG
rnacentral:rRNA from 1 species